rnacentral:lncRNA from 1 species
AAUUCACAAUCUUCUCAAUAUCUGAAUCUCGAUCUGACUUCAAACCAAAAAAGGCAAUCAUCUCUCAUAUAUUCUCGAUCUUUGUCAUUCUCUUCUCAAUCUAACAACAUAUUUUCUGCAUUGAUUUGCCGAUUUUCCUAUUUCAAUUUACGCGAAGAAGAUGAGAAGAGACUUGCGAUCAAUAUUCAAGGUAAUCUCUCCACUACUCUCUCUAUAUUGUUAACUGAGUCGAUCUAUUAUCUAUAUAUUGUUGCCUCUAAUUUCACUUUUUUCCUCCUAUAUUUCUCCUAAUUUUAUUUUUAUUUUUAGAACAUGCAGUGAUACAUACAUUCGAAUACGUAUUUUUUUUCUGGAUCUGAGGCCAUUUUGAGGCACUUAAAGUGUGGAAACAACUUUUUGGGGUAAGUUUGUUUUGGUGGCUUUCUGUUGUACCUGUAGUUUAAUUUUAUUUAGUGACUGAAGUUUAUAUGUUAUCAGUGGCUUACUUUCCCUGAGAUGGAGGGGUUUUUUUCAGACGGAUAUUUUACUUUUUACUCUUCUUUCGAUUGUAAUGUUAUGAGAUUUCCUGCCUCUAUAUUUUUUUUCUUAAUUUGUCCGAAAAUGAUGAUGAUGAGAGUGAGGUAUAAUGCAUGAAAUACACCUCUGGUGUGUGUAGUAUGAUGCAUCAAAUAAUUUACUCUAUGUAAACUGAUAUAAAGGAACACACAUUUUUUUGGGGAAUUUAACUUUCUCAAAAAUUUAUAUGGUUUAGGCACACUUUUUCAGCAACUUCACAGCUUUCUCCAUAUUGAAACGAUCUGGACAGAGAAAGGUAUGAUUGCAUUAUUAUGUUCUUUUAAGUGAUUGUUUUUGCUGCAUAUUUGAAAUGUUGGAUUGGUAUUGUAGAUAAUCUAAAUGUUAUAUAUGCUUGUAGGUACUAUCUCAUGGAUAAAAGUUGGAGCAAUGAUAAUAAUAGAUUUUCUAAAACUUACAUCGAAGGAGUGGAAUCAUUUAUUAACUUUGCAAAAGAAAAUGUUAAUGGGCUCCACCACCACAACUUUAAGAAAGUUGUCUGCCAAUAUACACAACUUUAAGAAAGUUGUCUGCCAAAG